AAGUGUAACCCAUAGCCUUUUCUAAUACCACAACACUUGGCCAAUCAAAUCAAACGUUUUAGCGAAAAAGCCCGCGAAUUGUCAGCGGUUUUCCAAACCAUGUAAAAAAAACAUGGCGGCCUUAGUUGAAUUCUUUGAAGGUUAAGACUAUGAUUUAACGUCAUUCCUGCCUUUCUUGCCAAUUAAAAAUCGAGCCACAUUCGGUAAAUAGCUAUCUGAAUGCAAGGUUUCGCUUCAAAGUCCGUUCGUUAUCAGUUCAACUUUCACGAAAUAUCAUGUUGUCAACAGACUUACGAAACGCCACUGAGGGUAAAAGAUGACUGUCACUUACCAUGGCUUCGUUCUCCCAGUAGAGUGUAAAAGAUGACUGUUACUUACCAUGGCUUCGUUCUGCCAGUAAAGGGUAAAAGAUGACUGUUACUUACCAUGGCUUCGCUCUCCCAGUAGAGUGUAAAAGAUGACUGUUACUUACCAUGGCUUCGUUCUCCCAGUAGAGUGUAAAAGAUGACUGUUACUUACCAUGGCUUCGUUCUCCCUGUAGAGGGUAAAAGAUGACUGUUACUUACCAUGGCUUCGUUCUCGCUGUAGAGGGUAAAAGAUGACUGUUACUUACCAUGGCUUCGUUCUCCCUGUAGAGGGUAAAAGAUGACUGUUACUUACCAUGGCUUCGUUCUCCCAGUAGAGGGUAAAUGAUGACUGUUACUUACCAUGGCUUCGUUCUCGCUGUAGAGGGUAAAAGAUGACUGUCACUUACCAUGGCUUCGUUCUCCCAGUAGAGGGUAAAAGAUGACUGUUGCUUACCAUGGCUUCGUUCUCCCUGUAGAGGGUAAAAGAUGACUGUAACUAACCAUGGCUUAGUUCUCCCUAUAGAAGGUAAAGAAAGAGUUCUCCCGCAGUCUGUUUAACGCUCCAUGGCUUUAUUAGAUCGAGGACAAACAACAUGCAAUUUUUAAUGAAACUGAAAUCACUCUUUACAGUUGGUAGUUAAACAAAAUUCCUGAUGGAUUUUGAGUUUUGCGCUAUGAAGUUUUGGAAGGGGCAAUAUAAUGUAAAUUUGUAGGCAACAAGUAAAAGUAAUUUCUGAUGUAAACAGCGUAAUAUUUAAUUUAUGUUCAGGGCCCCUAAAACUGCAGAAGAAGAAAAAAACGUUGGAAGGGCUAAUAGGACGAAAUGGUCAUUCAAUAUUUUUCGUCUCGCAUCUUUGCAUGUUUUGUUUGUGAGCAAAAAUUGUUUAUCAUUUUAGUAAAUUUCAAUUACAAUAAACUAUUAAUUGCAA